GGAGCCGGAGCCAGUCCCCUCCCGCAGCUUAUCUCCGCGACCGAGAAGGAGGAACUUGGCCUUUAAGAACAAGGAAUCUGAGGUCCAGAGUACCAGGAAUUGAACUCACAACCUUGUGCUUGCCAGGCAGGCACUGUGCCGCUGAGCUAAAUCCCCAGCCCCAAGAGGUUUAAUUUUUGAUAGAUGAACCCAAGAAGUAUGUCUCCAUAAUUUGACAGCUGUGGCAUCCCUUGUUUGUCAAGGACAGCCUCGAUGCUGAGCUGAGUCUCCACUGAGAACAACGUCUCUGCUGGUGAACAGGUUGGGUGCUGGGAGAGUCAUGUCUGAUUCAAACCUUACAAAAGGGAGUUACCCAAGUUUGCUGUUUUGGGAGAAGGAAAUAAAAAAAAGGUAAAUAAACCAGACUUUGUGUUC